UUGGUACGGAACGGGUCGUCACGAGCGCGUGCGUGAGAAACGCCGUUACGAACACUUAACGGCGCCGCUCUAUCUUUCUCGUUACCCUUUCUUCUCUCUUUCUCCCUCGUUCCCCCUACCCUCUCCCUCUCUAUCCCCUUCAAUCCCCCUCAAUGGCUCCGAACCCGGUCCACUCGCAGCGGAGCCGAACCGGAUCCCCUUUGCCGUCACCUUCGGCCGGUCCAGCUUCCUCGGCCGCUCCCUCGGCGCCGCGCUCGUCUCUCCCGGCCACUGGACAGUCCGCGUCGCCGAUCCCUCCCCUUCUCCCGGUCCGGUCCACCAACCAGGUUUUCUGUAACGACCUGACCUGAAGUAUUAGUAGUUCAGUAGUUAGCAGAGGAAGGUAAUAAAAAUGAUAACUUUACAAAAUGGGAGAGAUAAGUGGCCGCAGCAAGUCGAGGAAGGGCGAGCCUGGCGGAACUCCGGCGGCGCGAGGUCGCUCGGGAUCGAAGUAAGAGGGGAAAUCCUGCAGGAUCUGGAGAGCGGAGGAAGCGGUAAUAUUUCGGUAGCGGGUAGCGGGCGAUCCGAUUCCGGGUCGGAUGGAAAAUGCGGACCCAAUAUCCGCAGGAUGAAGGUUCCGCGGAGGGAACGAAUCGAUAACCCUCUGACCCGGGUUACCAGCGGAGCGGAUGACCCGAUUCCUGGAUCGGAUGGAAAAAGCGGACCCGCUACCCGCCGGGCGGAGGAUAGUGCGGAGAAGGCGACCCGAUAUUCACUCACCGGUUACAAGAAGAGCUCAUGGACCAGUGAAGCCCAGGCGGGGGCCCAUAAUAGCGCCGAAUAGCGGCCUAUCAAGCCCAUGCUUCUAUUUUUUACCACCUUUGCUGUUUAGUCCCUAUAGAAUAGCGUUUUUGCUUUCCAUCAUUAGUAUAAAUACCAUGAUGUAAUGAAAACGGAAUUAGUAUUUUCCUUCUCCCCAAUUCUCCUACGUCUCAUCUGUCUCUCUCUCUCGCAGUCUCAUGCCCUCGUCUCCCUCAACCUGCCUCUAACCUCUCCAAACCCUUAUUCCUCCCCAACUCUCCUCUUUCUCUAGCUCUCUAAACUCUUCCUCUGCUCUUCUUCUUCCCUUCUGUCACUCAAUUAUCUCAAUUUCUCUAAUCCGAUCCAACCAUCAUCCUCAUCGCCGACCAAGCCUCAGAGCAAUCUCAUCAUCGGCGGCUGCGAUUCGUCAGGUACAUUACAUUCUCCCGGCCCGUUUCACCUCCUCGGACCGGGCCCAGGUCAUCCCCGCCCUCUCCGGCUCCGUUGUCGUCUUCCACAUCGAUCCCGUCACCACCACCUCCUCCUCCUCCUCCUCCAUUAUCUCCACCACCACCUCCCAAUUUCUCUGAACUCCACGCCCUAGCCAUUGGCGCCACCAGAACCCUAAUCUCCGCCGCAAUCGAGUGCGGCGUGCGCCGCGUCGUCUACACCGCCUCCACCGCAGUCGCCUUCGACGGCCCCCGCGACGUCGUGCUCGGCGACGAGUCCGUGACCUACUCCGAUAAGGUCCCUGCCCCAUUUCCCGAUCUGGGUUCUUCUCAAAAUUUGAUUUUGAUUCGUGAAUUUGAGUUUCACUUGUUGGUGUAUUUGGUAUAUAGUAUGAGGACGUUUUGAACGAACUGAGGGCGCAGGCGGAGAUGAUGGUGUUGGACGCGAACCGGAGGGGUGGUAUAUGUACGUAUCUGGUGUUCUUUUUCGAAUGUCAAAUACUUUGGGUGAUAGUUGCGUUUUUCGGUGUUUGUGGUCCCUUGCAUUGGAUUCUUGCUUUUGUAUGUGAUGCUUUGUUUGAAUGUAAAUGCCUCUUAAUUUUUCUUGGUCAAUAUUCUCCUUCUAUCA